ensembl:misc_RNA Vault Vault RNA
GGACUGGCUCUAUCUCAGGGGUUCCUUCCAUAAAGUGUCAGCUUUCAGUUUCCCCUAUGGGAGUGGUUUGAGACCUGAGGGUACUCUCUAGUUCUUAG